AAAAAUGAUGAUUUAUUAAACAAAAUCUUGAAUACCAACUGAUUGUAAUUUUGAUUUGUGGUCACGCUGGACAGUAAUCAAAUGAUUAUCUAGUACUUUUAGGAAGUGAUUUUUAUAAGAAAAAAAGAACUAAAAUAAAGGUCAAUUUCUAAGAUUUUAAGUGACCCUAAAUUAUAAGGAAUUGCCCAGAGAAUAAUACAUACAAGAUACUCUCAAGGCAUAUAGACAUUAAAUCCUAUCUAUAGUAAAACACACCACAUAGCAAUAGUUUAAAUGAAUCUCAACAAAUCAAAUUCUCAAAAGCAAGAAUAUGGAUACAUUUGUAUUUCAAAAGUAAAGAUUAAAAAUGAAAUUAAACCUAAAAAAUUGAUUCAAUCAACAUAAAUUAAUCUUUUGUGCACAUGUAAAAGAAGCAAACUAAAAAAUAGCAACAUAAAUAUAGUAAAGAGUGCAACAAUUUAUUUGCUAGAGAAUUAUUUUCAUCGUGGCUUGUUGUUGGAAAUCAGACCUAUGAAAGAGAUGGCAGCAAAUAGUUUAAGUCUAAAACAAAAACACAAGAUCAACAAUUAAACUUUCACCCAGCUAUUACACAAAAGUACUCGUCUCUUUUAACAAAUUAAACUAAAUUUGGCACCAAAAGCAAAAAGCAACUUGAGAUUUUGUAGGCUGGAAUUCCUAGUUGCUAUGUUUCGAAAUCGAAAGGAUAUUGGUUGUUGUUAAUGCAAAGGGAAAAACUACAACAUAUCUUCAUAUUAUAUAUACAAGAAUCAAUCUAAGAGAUGCACAAUUUUUAGAAAAAGACAAAAAAAUUAAUUGGUGGAUUUUAAAUAAUUGGGGUUUUAGGGUUUCAAAUUAUGAAGAAACAUUAUGAAAUAAUUCCAAAUUACAAGAGCAAAAAUUGAAAAUUAACUACUCCUAAUUUCGUUUUGAUUAAAUGUGAGUCAAAGUCUAGAAAAAAAAAUCAAACCCACUUCCAUUCAAUAAAUUUUCAUCGAUUUCUUCAUCACCAUGCCAAGUUUGCAAAGAAAAAUUUGUCACCAUUUCAUGCAAGCCAAACCCAAUUAAUUUAUUUAGCAAACUUAUUCAUAUUACAAGCCCAAUCGAUUCUACACCUAAAAUCAAAGGACAAAUUGAAAAAAAAAACACUCUAAGCAUUUACCUUCACGAAGCGAAAUGACAGUGAUGGUGACGCUGAAAGGACAAAGAGACUAAGAAAUGAUGCAAAACAAGUGUGUAAUUGAGAGUAAACGACUUAAAUGGCAGCAUAUGGUGGUGUUUUCGAAUCAAUUGAGAAGGUGAGAGUUUAGUUCUAGGGUUUCAAUAUUAUUGGCAAAAUGGUGGUGGCAGUGACGAGCUACUAUUUUUUAACCAAUAUUACCGUCAUAGUUACAAUAUACUUGAAUGGCAGCCAAAGGAUGAUGUUUUGCUCGAUUGAUUGGGUGCAAGGUUGAUUUCUAGGGUUUGGUCACGAGAGAGUGAUGAGUGUUUGGUGAGAGUGUUAGUGAGUUUGGGACUUGGAUCAAGACGGUAGUGUUUUUCUUUUCCCUUUUUUCAUUUUU
rnacentral:lncRNA from 1 species